UAUGUACAGCUCUGUAAGUCACUUUGGAUAUAAGCGUCUGCUAAAUGGCAUAUA
rfam:Salmo salar isolate Sally breed double haploid chromosome ssa04, whole genome shotgun sequence.